rnacentral:lncRNA from 1 species
UGGGAUUUAAUUGAAAUUAAUUUUGGGAAAAAGGGGUAAAAUUUUGGAUUCUGGGGGUGUUUUUGAAAAGAAAAUCAGAAAUCGGGAGUCAAAACAUAAUUUAAGAAAGUUGUUCCACAUCAGCAGCCCAGUCAGCAGCCCCGACCAACCAGAACACGCCGCGUGACAAGGAAGCUGACGCAGGAGGCCACGCGGGACGGAGCCACGUGGGCGAUCCGUGUGCACGUGAUCGAACAGUCCAGAUCUCACGCGUGCGAACGGCCCAGAUCUCACCCGCACGGAUGGCCCAGAUCUCACGCGUGCGGACGAUCCAGAUUGAAUCACGCACAGACAGCCUAGAUCACAUCGUGAUGGACGGUCCAGAUU